CAGGCACGCAAAUUACCCAAUCCCAGCUCUGGGAGGUAGUGACGAAAAAUAACAAUGCGGGACUCUUCCGAGUCUGCGUAAUUGGAAUGAGCACACUUUAAAUCCUUUAGCAACAACCAAUUGGAGGGCAAGUCUGGUGCCAGCAGCCGCGGUAAUUCCAGCUCCAAUAGCGUAUAUUAAAGUUGUUGCGGUUAAAAAGCUCGUAGUUCGAACUCAGUUCCGGACUGGCUGGGGAGGUCACCGCCCGGUGCUUCCCCGUCAGGCUCCGAACAGCUUUUAUGACUAAAAGCCAAGUCGGUUUCGCCGGGGUGCUCUUCACCGAGUGUCCCGCGCGGCCGGCCAGUUUACCUUGAAUAAAUGAGAGUGCUCAAAGCAGGCUACUCUUAAAAAUAAAGCCCGAAUGUUACCUGCAUGGAAUGAUGGAAGAUGAUCUCGGUUCCAUUUUAUUGGCUCUGGGAAUCCGAGUUAAUGAUAAACAGGGACAGUCGGGGGCAUCCGUACUACGACGCGAGAGGUGAAAUUCAGUGACCGUCGUAGGACGAACAACAGCGAAAGCAUUUGCCAAGAAUGUCUUCGUUGAUCAAGAACGAAAGUUAGAGGAUCGAAGGCGAUCAGAUACCGCCCUAGUUCUAACCCUAAACGAUGCUGACUAGCAAUCCGCCGUCGUUAUUCCCAUGACGUGGCGGGACGCUCCCGGGAAACCUUAAGUCUUUGAGUUCCGGGGGUAGUAUGGUUGCAAAACUGAAACUUAAAGGAAUUGACGGAAGGGCACCACCAGGAGUGGAGCCUGCGGCUUAAUUUGACUCAACACGGGAAACCUCACCAGGCCCGGACACCAGAAGGAUUGACAGAUUAAGAGCUCUUUCUCGAUUUGGUGGGUGGUGGUGCAUGGCCGUUCUUAGUUGGUGGAGUGAUUUGUCUGGUUAAUUCCGGUAACGAACGAGACUCUGGCCUGCUAAAUAGUCGACGGGUGUUUUGGUGCAUGGGCCCCGUUCGACAAUGUCUUCUUAGAGGGAUGAGCAGCGAGUAUAGCUGCAGGAGAUUGAGCAAUAACAGGUCUGUGAUGCCCUUAGAUGUCCUGGGCCGCACGCGCGCUACACUGAAUGGGUUAGCGGGUUCUCCUUCUCCGAGAGGAGCGGGAAAUCGCAUGAAAACCAUUCGUGAUAGGGAUUGGGGCUUGCAAUUGUUUCCCAUGAACGAGGAAUUCCCAGUAAGCGCAAGUCAUCAGCUUGCGUUGAUUAAGUCCCUGCCCUUUGUACACACCGCCCGUCGCUACUACCGAUUGAAUGAUUUAGUGAGGCCUUCGGACUGGCGGUCUUGGACUGGGUUCCAUUCGCUAUUCAACUCCAGCAAUGGGGGGCGGUGGACUCGCCAUGACGAGCCGGAAAGAUGUCCAAACUUGAUCAUUUAGAGGAAGUAAAAGUCGUAACAAGGUUUCC
rnacentral:rRNA from 1 species